UCUUAGGUAGUAUAGUGGUUAGUAUUCGCGCCUGUCAAGGCUUGAAACCGGGAUUCAAUUCCCCGCCUGAGAG
rfam:Sphaerobolus stellatus SS14 unplaced genomic scaffold SPHSTscaffold_413, whole genome shotgun sequence.